rnacentral:lncRNA from 1 species
GCCCGGCUGCUGCUCCGGCGGUGGUCCUUGAUGGCCUUGUAGAUGAAGGGGAGUGAGGCCUUCCACCCGUCGAGCUGCUCAUGGUCGUGAGAGGAGGGGUUGGUGAGGGACGAUGAUGGGUGGGUGUGUGUGGGCGUCUUCAGCCUAAUCUUGACCUCUCAACCUCUCGGCUCUAGGGGCCGGGUCGGAGGAUUGGCUGGGUGUGCCGCUUUAUACCGAGCUCCUCCUCCAC